rnacentral:tRNA from 1 species
GCGGCGAUGGGCAAGGCCGCCGCGACCCACGCGCGGCAGUUCACCUGGGCGGUGAGCGGCGCCGCGUUCCACCGGGUGGUCGCCGCC